rfam:Ailuropoda melanoleuca scaffold869_76, whole genome shotgun sequence.
UUAAUGGUGCUUCUUAGCACCACAGAAGCAAAUAAAUGAAAAUUAG